UGGGGAAUUUUGGACAAUGGGCGCAAGCCUGAUCCAGCCAUGCCGCGUGAGUGAAGAAGGCCUUCGGGUUGUAAAGCUCUUUCGGCCGGGAAGAAAUCGUGUUCUCUAACAUAGGACAUGGAUGACGGUACCGGACUAAGAAGCACCGGCUAACUACGUGCC
rnacentral:rRNA from 2 species